rnacentral:lncRNA from 1 species
CGAACUCUGCCUCACGUGAUUCAGCAUUUCGAAAGACGCCGUUGCCAUGUGAGAUGAAAGACCUGUGGUGAUAGUUACCAACAGCUUUGCCGACGAGUUCCAUUUACUGGACGUUUGCUAAACGUGUUACAGUUCACUCUUAUCACUCAUAUCUCUAGUUUUCACUUAUUUACAUUAACCUCUGCGAUAUUGUCGCAUUUUGUCACAUUCGUUAGUAAAUAAAUAGUUCCAAAAUGAAAAUCAACGGAAUUGAGAAAGUUUCACAUAGCCCCGUGAACACCUCCCACAGCAAUGUGUCCCGCCCUCUGUAUCCGAUACGAGAAGAACAGCAGCACAGGGAUGGCAGAAAGCACCACAAAGAGACGCAGACAGUUCUGGGCAGAGUCUUAAAGAAAGAACCGAACUGGGAGGAUGGGAGCGAAGAAUUCAGAGACAGACGUUGUUUCAACGAGAGGAAACGCAAGAGAGACGUGGCUGAUGGUGUUACUGACAUGAUGCCUGCUCCCAAAAGGAGUCUAAACACUGACGGCGAGGACAAGCCUGAGCUAGGAGCACUGUCUGUGCAACCAGCGCCACCUCAGGACACAGAGAGCGUAGCAUUCGUCUCUGUUGGCUGUCAGACUGUUCAACAGAGUUUCAAACCCAUCAAAAUUGAACCUCCAGAUGAGCCAGUGAUGGGUGACGUCACUCCUCCAGACGGCGAGGACAAGCCUGAGCUAGGAGCGCUGUCUGUGCAACCAGCGCCACCUCAGGACACAGAGAGCGUAGCAUUCGUCUCUGUUGGCUGUCAGACUGUUCAACAGAGUUUCAAACCCAUCAAAAUUGAACCUCCAGAUGAGCCAGUGAUGGGUGACGUCACUCCUCCAGACGGCGAGGACAAGCCUGAGCUAGGAGCGCUGUCUGUGCAACCAGCGCCACCUCAGGACACAGAGAGCGUAGCAUUCGUCUCUGUUGGCUGUCAGACUGUUCAACAGUGUUUCAAACCCAUCAAAAUUGAACCUCCAGAUGAGCCAGUGAUGGGUGACGUCACUCCUCCAGUGAGGUGUUGGAGCAGAAACCGUCUGUAGGAGAUUUUUCAGAUCACCCCGGUCCAGUCCAUGGCCUGGAAAACCACAAUGGCCUCCUUCACAUGUGUUGAGGGG